GAACUUAACUAUUUGAGUGAUCUCGAAAUGAAGAAGCUUGAUCUCCGCAUGCGUGAAUUGGAGCUUGGUGUUGCUUCUCAAGUUUCGUCUAGAUCUUCAAACUUUGAUGUAAGCAGAAACAUUCGCUUAGUUCCUCCGUUUAAUGAAAAGGAUGUUGACAAUUAUUUAUUAUUUAUUAAGAAUGUCUUUGUGGAUCGUCCUUUUUGGAAUGUUGGUCAGCUGAUUCCUACUGGGAAGGAUAGGCACAGUGAAGUUGUUGAGGGGGGCAGAAAUGUUGGUCCCUUGGAGGUUGAUGUUGAGGCUGAGGAUGAUUUGAAGGUAAAAGACAUCAUGUGCUUUUAUUGUAAAAAAAAAAAAAAAAGGAGGACAUAUUGUGGCAGGCUGUCCUGUGUUGAAAAAGGAAAGUGUGAAGCCUGUAGCUUUAGUAAACAAACUUGAUAAAAAUUUAAAUGAACCUGUGUUGUCUAAAGACAUGUCUAUUGACCUGACUGUAUUUACUCCAUUUGUUAUGGAUGGUGUUGUCUCGUUGCCUGGUAACAAACUUAAAGUGCCGGUAAAGUUUUGCCAUUCGGUAAUGAGUCUGCUGUGGGUUCUGACGUUCCUGUGUUGGGUUUUUGUAUGGAAGACAUUGAUGUGCCUCUGCAUAGGGUCUGUGUGGAGUCUGACCUUGUGUCAGGAGAGGUGUCUGUGGGGGUGCGUCCUGGUUUCCCUAUAAAAGGGAUUGCCUUUUUGAUGGGGAAUGAUUUGUUGGUGGAAAGGUGUUGGUUAAACCUGAAGUGACGCCGAUUCCUGUUAGACAGGUUCCUGAUGAGCUUGCUCACAAGUUUCCCAAGGUUUUUACUGCAUGUGCUUUUACUCGAUCUGUGUAAACAGGAUGAAGAGUGAAAGUUUUCUUUUUAAUCCAGAUAAUGCUCACUCAUUUUCUCCAGUGAGGGCUGAGAGUAACGCCACAAGGGCAGAGCUUUCCUGAGGCUGAGCGUUUAUCCUUAUCUCGUGAACAGUUGAUUGAUGCGCAGUGCAUCUGCUGCAGAUGACUGGAGGGCUGUAACCCAAAUUGUAGUUCCAUGAGCAUAUCGAGCAGAGAUUUUGAAGCUGGCUCAUGAUAGUCCUCUUGCUGGUCACUUGGGUACUAAGAAAACGUAUAAUCAUAUUUUGCGCCAUUUCUUUUGGCCUGGGUUAAAGAGGGAUGUUUCACGUUAUUGUAAGUCUUGUCAUCUAUGUCAGGUAGUUGGGAAACCAAACCAGACCGUCCCUCCUGCUCCACUAUAUCCGAUUCCGGUGGUAUGUGAGUCAUUUGAACGGGUUCUGGUUGACUGUGUGGGCCCCCUGCCUCGUACAAAAACUGGUAAUAAGUUUUUGUUGACUGUGAUGUGUGCGUCCACUCCAUUUCCAGAAGUCUUCCCUUUACGGAAGAUCUCAACUCCAGCGGUUUUAAAGGCUUUGACAAAGUUUUUUUCAUUGUUUGCUUUGCCGAAGGUUGUACAAACAGAUCAGGGUUCAAACUUUGUCGCGUGUGUUUGCUCAGGUGCUGAAGCAGUUAAAUAUUAAACACUGUCACUCUAGUGCAUACCAUCCGGAGAGUCAGGGCGCACUUGAGCGUUUUCACCAGACAUUAAAAAACCAUGUUGUGUACUUACUGCCUGGAGUUCAAGAAAGAUUGGGAUGAAGGAGUUCACAUGCAGAUGUUUGCUGUAAGGGAGGUGGUUCAGGAAUCUUUGAGGUUUAGUCCAUCGGAGUUAGUAUUUGCCCAUACUGUGCGUGGGCCAUUGAAGUUAUUUAAAGAGAAGUGGCUGUAAGAGGGGACAGAACAAAACUUGUUGGACUAUGUGAGUAACUUCAGAUUUAAAUUACGCAGAGCUUGUGAGAUAGCUGGGGAUCAUCUUGAAGCAGGGCAGGAUGAAGGUGUGGUUUGAUAAAUGUGCUCAAAAUAGAGAAUUUCUGCCUGGGGAUAAGGUUUUAGUGUUGCCGGUUCCUGGGUCUAGUUUGCAGGCUCGCUACAGUGGGCCUUAUGUGGUUCAGAAGAAGGUUGGCGAUAGAGACUACCUGAUAGCCACUCCUGAUCGCUGCCGUAGAUCUCGUCUGUCAUGUUAAUAUGCUGAAGUCUUACUGUGACGGGCAACAGAUGCAGCCGGACGUGGGGUCCAGUUCUGGUGCAGGGGAGGGUGCUGUGAUUAUUGGGGAGGUGUCCAGUAUUGACGCUGGUGCACAUCCUGUGUGUUCGGUGACGGGUGUAGUCUCAGGUGUCUUAGGUUUGGGUGACGAGGGGAGAAACUGAUAAGAGGGGGCUUGGCGCUUGGCGCUUGGCGCUUGGCUCUCGCUCUGGUCCACCUUCCAGCCAUGGCAGCAGCAGCACCUCCGAGACUGCGACUAAUUUGUAUUUCCUUGAUUAUUGUUCUUAUAUUUCUGAUAGGACUGGUAGUUUAGUUAUCGCGGCUUUAUUUCUGUUUGUUUAGUUAGGGAUUAGUUUAGGGUAGAGGGGGGCUUCCCUUUCUUUUGUUUGUUUUGGCCAGCCCAUCAGAUUUGUUGUUUUGUUUAAGUUAAAUUUUGAACUUAUUUCAUGUUUAUUUCAAUAAACUUAUGUUUGCAUUACUCCUGGACUCUUCGGUUAUGUUCAACCCCCUCUUAUAACGAGCUUUGGUGGGGGGGGGGACAACAAAUAUUAGCUUAUGGGUCCAGUAGUAUGUGUAUAUAACACAUUUAGUAUUUCUUAGCUCACACUAAAAACUUGUUAACACAUUAUAUAUACCUUUAUAAAUAAUUAAUUAAUUAGGUGUUAACAUUAAUGAGACUUAAUGUGUGUUAGAAAUGUCAUAAAACAAAUUUAUUAUUGGCUUGCAAGAUAUUUAUGUGCACUUAUUAGCAUCUUGUUAACAGUUUAUAGACCACUUAUUAAUAAGUUGAUAUUACUCACUCCUUUGCAGCUACUGGAACUAAAGUGGAAACAGCGUCUUAUUAAGAUUCCUACUCUGACUCCACCCUGUGCUACAGCACUGAAAUUUUUCAAACUUCUGUUUGAGUGGAAGUUUAACAGGAGUUUCUUUUUGUUUCUGUGUUUAAUUGAAAGUUAUGAAAUGUAAACAAUCAAAUAAAAAAAACUUCCAAAUCCUUCUUUUAAUUAUUUUAUAAACAUUUACUCAUCUUAAUAACUGUUCCCACUUUUGCUGCAAAGGAACAAUGUUGAUUGUUUGUAAAUGCAUAAUGAAGGAUUUAUUAGCCUUUAUAAGGCAGUAAUAUAAACCUAUUAUAGUCUGAUUACUCUCAUUAAACAUCCUAUUACCACCACCAUAUAUGUGUGUGUAUGUAUGUAUAUAUGUAUAUAUAUAUAUAUACAUAUAUAUAUAUAUAUAUAUAUAUAUAUGUAACGGCUGAAACGGCAGCAUUAAAAUACUCUUACAUGUAUUUGUUAGUGACACAGAGUAAUAUAAUAUUCUAUUAUAAUAUAACUCUGUGAAAGAAGGCGUUCUGCAUAAUGAGUACUUUUACUUUGACACUUUAAGUACAUUUAGCUGAUAAUGCUAAUGUUAAUACAGUAUUUUUGUCCAGCUCUGCUGCUCCUCUACAUAUAUGAAAGUAAUGUCAGAGUGAUGUAUGUAUUUUAGAUUCUGCAUGUUUCACUUAGUGUCUAAUAAAGCAGCAGCAUGUUA